rnacentral:rRNA from 1 species
GAUCAUGGCUCAGGAUGAACGCUAGCGACAGGCCUAACACAUGCAAGUCGAAGGGGCAACAUGGUAUCUAGCUUGCUGAUACUGAUGGCGACCGGCGCAGUGGGUGAGUAACGCGUAUGUAAUCUACCUGUAACAGAGGGAUAACCCGGAGAAAUCCGGACUAAUACCGUCAUAGCACAUAUUAUUCGCAUGAAUUUUAUGUUAAAGAGACUCGGUUACAGAUG